AGGACGAACGCUGGCGGCGUGCUUAACACAUGCAAGUCGAGCGGUAGGGCCCUUCGGGGUACACGAGCGGCGAACGGGUGAGUAACACGUGGGUGACCUGCCCCCUACUCUGGGAUAAGCCUGGGAAACUGGGUCUAAUACCGGAUAUGACCUGCUGUCGCAUGAUGGUGGGUGGAAAGUUUGUUCUUAAUUGGACACUUCGGUGGGGGAUGGGCCCGCGGCCUAUCAGCUUGUUGGUGGGUGAUGGCCUACCAAGGCGACGACGGGUA
rnacentral:rRNA from 1 species